AACCUGACACACCAUACUCAAGUGCGGAAGCCUGGCUAAAACCUGCACAGGUGUUAACUUGAACCACAGCAUGAAAAGGAGCAGAAUGCCCAUCAUCGAGACUCAACCAGAUGAACGUGCAUUUGUGAACGUUGAAGAGGUGCUUUCAGUUUGAGAGCUGAAAAAUGCAGCAAACGGAGACUUGCCAGAGGCUCCUAUCUUCAGCCCGGUCAAGUAUAGGAAGUCUCAACUCAUCUACUAUGAUUGCCCUUGGCUGGUUCAAAGCUUCAGAUUGUUUACCAGAUCCAGGCUGCAUCUUUAGGAGUGUGAAGUUGCUAUGUGAAGGUUUAGGCUUUUGGGAGACCCUCCUCUCAACCCCGUGUUGACAGCCCAACCUGAGUGCUGCGCAUGGCCUGCCCAAGGCAAGACCACAGGCGACGCAUCUCUCCUGUGGGCCUCCUUCAGGAUCCUCCAUACCUCACAUCGCCACCUCCUUCCCACCGUCUGCUUGUAGAAGGUAUAGAAAAGAUUUAUUUGGGGGUGUCCUCAGGCAUCCAGGUUUUCAGAUGCCACCCCAUGCCACUGCCAUAAUGUUAAAUGACUAUUUUUGGAGUGCAAAUCUCAACUAUGUGACUUUCCGCUCACUGCACUAAUGCACCGUGACUGCUGGGUUUCUAAGGGAGGUUCGAGAGAGUAAUACAGGGAGGGGGGUGUACCUUUAGUUAACUGCAAGACACGUAUACCAGACUGCCGCUUUACCACCAUCCACCCCACUACAUUUCUUGCUGUUUUUUUCCCUCUGUUUUUGUGUCUGAGUCCUGACUAUCAACAUUAAUGAGACGUUCUUCAGCUGGCUGGAUUCACAAAGGAAAGGAGAAUUACGCUAAUGCAGUCUGUUUGAAGAUGCUCCUGAUGGGAUCCCCAGUGAAAGGAAG